GUGAUAUCUUUUAGUCGGGAUAUCAAUAUAAACGACUAUGUCGUAUAAAGUUCUAGAUAGAUGAUUGAUAAUGACAGUUUUCUAUCUAUAUGUCUUGACCAAAUCUUGUGCCAGCAGUCGCGGCAAUACAAGUAAGACUAGUGUUAUUCAUCUUAAUUAGGUUUAAAGGGUACCUAGACAGUAUUUCUAGCCUCCAAAGGGAACAGAUUUACUAGAGUUUUAUGUGAGAGGAAAAUAUUAGAACCAUUGGAGUAGUGAUAAAAUGUUUUGAUACUAAUGGGACGGAUAACGGCGAAGGCAAACCUCUAUGUAAUAACUGACGUUGAGGGACGAAGGCUUGGGUAGCGAAUAGGAUUAGAUACCCUAGUAGUCCAAGCAGAGAAUUAUGAAUGUUAUAGAUUAAAAUAUUUGGUGUAUAAAUGAAAGUGUAAGCAUUCCACCUCAAGAGUAAUGCGGCAACGCAGGAACUGAAAUCAUUAGACCGUUUNUGAAACCAGUAGUGAAGUAUGUUAUUUAAUUNGAUGAUCCUCGAAAAACCUUACCACAAUUUGAAUGAUAUUUAUUUUUUUUUUUUUUAUUUAAGAUAAAUAUUACAAGUGUUGCACGGCUGUUUUAAGUUAAUGUCGUGAGACUUUGGUUAGAUCCAUUAAAUUAACGUAAACCCUUGCUUUAUUUUACAUAUAUAGAGCAUUUGACCAAUUUAUUGGAUAUGAUAAAAG
rnacentral:rRNA from 1 species